AACGUAGGUGGCGGAGCGUUUAUCCGGAUUCAUUGGGCGUAAAGGAGCUUGUAGGCGGCGUCAUAAGUUGGACGUGAAAACUCCGGGCUUAACUUGGAGAGGCCGUUCAAUACUGUGAGGCUAGAGGGUGUCAGAGGGAAGUAGAAUUCCUGGUGUAGCAGUGAAAUGCGUAGAUAUCGAGAGGAACACCAGUGGCGAAGGCGAGUCUCUGGACGACUCCUGACACUGAGGCACGAAAGCUGGGG
rnacentral:rRNA from 1 species